CCAAAGCGGUUAUUUCGUUUAUCCCUACUGUAAGUUUGUAUUUUGCGGCGCGUGUGAGAUUCUCGAAAUUAUAUCUGUGAUUUUCUGUGAUUUUCAGUGAUUCUCUGUGAUUGGGAAUGGAUAUGGCACCGGCAGGCCAUAAUUGCGUAGAGCUCAUGAAGAGUUGUCAAUACAGCCAACAGAUAAUCGAGCUAUUUCUAGGGUCUGAAAGCAUCUCUUUUGACCAACCUUGACGGCAGACUCGCUCUGAAGUCGGGAUAACAUUUGGGCCACGAAGCUCGAAAGUACCUGAAAUUUUACCGCGAUUUCGCUGGAAGCGGGUGCAAUUUUUCAGAUUAGCACCCGCUCCCGGCGAA